UCCCUGGAGGACUAGUGGUUAGGCCUCAGCACUCUCAAUGCUACAGCCCAAGUUCAAUACCUGGCCAAGGAA